AGCAGUCAGUCAAUGAAGGCAUUCGGAGUGAGAGGUAGUCAGCCUGUGUGCAUUUCACAUAAGUUUUGGGCAUUCAGUAAUCAAGUUCUGUCCUGCUUGUGUCCAUCUGGGGUUGUCGAGUUGGUACAAAUAUAAAAUGGCAAUUGUGCUGUUUUCCUUCAACUUUGCUAAAGUGAGUUAGAAUCAUGGAAAUACUUAGACGUUUGAAAAUGUUGAUGGAGUGAUGCCCUUUAAUGAACUUAGUCUGAUUUCUUACACGAUUCGUCUCACCCGACUUGGUUGACGAAGGAAGUAAAGCCUGCCCCGUAGUUACUGAUUUCUUUCAGUUGGAGAGUUGAUUGGUCGGUGUGCACCAGGACUGUCAGAGAGUCAGUUGGUGGGUGUACACUAUUACUUCAUCCUGAUUCAUUAUCAUUGAUAUGGCAAGCUAAAACCUUAGCGGCCGAGGAUGGCUCAUGGACUUGGACGUCAGAAUGGCAGCAAGCUUAAUAACACCUUUUUUCCGAGCUAUGUAUAGUCCAUUCCACCACGGGACUUUGGAAUCUCACUUCAGCGGAUCGGGACUAAUGAAGAUGUCCUUGUAUUUCCUUUGAUAAUUAAUGGACAUCGGGAGGAGGAAGUUUGCUUCCCUCACUUUUGACGGGUUCCUUCUCAAGACGGAGGAGUGCAGUGACUCAACUCCUUUCACGCCAUUCCUUCCUUCGGAAUAACUACAGUUUUCGCUAUUUCAUAUAUAGAUAAUGGUCAUUAUUAUUAAUAGUUAACUAUCUUAAUCAUGUCUUGUUAAUUGUUAAUUAAAUAUGAUUUGAAGCCUAAAAUUUUUUAUUUUACGAUUGUUCCAUACAUUAAUUUUAUCAAAGCAUCACUGUUAGCAUUAGAGUAUUCAAACGUUUUUUUAUCUGUGAUGAAGAUUCAGGUGUCUGGCUGC